UACGUAGGGUGCAAGCGUUGUCCGGAAUUAUUGGGCGUAAAGAGCUCGUAGGCGGUCUGUCGCGUCGGAUGUGAAAAUCCAGGGCUCAACCCUGGACCUGCAUUCGAUACGGGCAGACUAGAGUUCGGUAGGGGAGACUGGAAUUCCUGGUGUAGCGGUGAAAUGCGCAGAUAUCAGGAGGAACACCGGUGGCGAAGGCGGGUCUCUGGGCCGUAACUGACGCUGAGGAGCGAAAGCAUGGGGAGCAAACGGG
rnacentral:rRNA from 1 species